rnacentral:rRNA from 1 species
AACGCGAAGAACCUUACCAGGUCUUGACAUCCUCUGACACCCCUAGAGAUAGGAUCUUCCCCUUCGGGGGACAGAGUGACAGGUGGUGCAUGGUUGUCGUCAGCUCGUGUCGUGAGAUGUUGGGUUAAGUCCCGCAACGAGCGCAACCCUUGAUCUUUUGUGCAAACAUUCAGUUGGAUACUCUAAGGUGACUGCCGGUGACAAACCGCAGGAAGGUGGGGAUGACCUCAAAUCAUCAUGCCCCUUAUGACCUGGGCUACACACGUGCUACAAUGGAUGGUACAAAGGGCUGCAAACCUGCGAAGGUUAUCCAACUCAUAAAGCCAUUCUCCGUUCGGAUUCAGGCUGAAACUCGCCUGCAUGAAGCCGGAAUCGAUAGUAAUCCCGUAUCAGCAUGCCGCGGUGAAUACGUUCCCGGGUCUUGUACACAC